UACGUAGGGGGCCAGCGUUGUCCGGAAUCAUUGGGCGUAAAGCGCGCGUAGGCGGUCAGGUAAGUCCGGUGUGAAAGUCAUAGGCUCACCUAUGGAUGCCGCUGGAAACUGCCUGACUUGAGUCCGGGAGGGGCGAGUGGAAUUCCUGGUGUAGCGGUGAAAUGCGCAGAUAUCAGGAAGAACACCCGUGGCGAAGGCGGCUUUCUGGGACGGUACUGACGCUGAGACGCGAAAGCGUGGGGAGCGAACAGG
rnacentral:rRNA from 1 species